rnacentral:tRNA from 1 species
CAGGACGAAGCUAAAACAGAAAAGCAUCUCCCUUACACCGAGAAGUUACCUGUGCAAAUCAGGUCGUACUGA